GACGUAGGAGGCGAGCGUUGUCCGGAUUCAUUGGGCGUAAAGAGCUCGUAGGCGGUUUGUCGCGUCGUUCGUGAAAACUCACAGCUUAACUGUGAGCUUGCGGUCGAUACGGGCAGGCUAGAGUUCGGUAGGGGAGACUGGAAUCCUGGUGUAGCGGUGAAAUGCGCAGAUAUCAGGAGGAACACCGGUGGCGAAGGCGGUUAGCUGGGCAGUUGCUGACACUGAGGCGCGACAGCGUGGGGAGCAAACAGG
rnacentral:rRNA from 1 species